rnacentral:misc_RNA from 1 species
UUUCCGUAGGUGAACCUGCGGAAGGAUCAUUAAAGAGUAAGGGUCUUCGGGCCCGAUCUCCAACCCUUUGUUUAACUACCAUGUUGCUUUGGCGGGCCCGUCUCACGACCGCCGGAAGUUUGGCUUCGACCAAACUUCUGGCCCGUGCCCGUCAGUGGCCCCUUCAAAUUCUUGAUCAAGUAUGAUGUCUUAGUUAAAAACUUAAUAGUUAAAACUUCCAACAACGGAUCUCUUGGUUCUG